rnacentral:tRNA from 1 species
GCCGAGGUGGUGGAAUUGCGGUGACACGCUACCUGAGGUAGUGCCCACAAGCUACGGUUCAAGUCCCGUCCUCGGUACCA